rnacentral:rRNA from 1 species
UGGGGAAUUUUGGACAAUGGGCGCAAGCCUGAUCCAGCCAUGCCGCGUGCGGGAAGAAGGCCUUCGGGUUGUAAACCGCUUUUGUCAGGGAAGAAAUCUUCUGAGUUAAUACCUCGGGAGGAUGACGGUACCUGAAGAAUAAGCACCGGCUAACUACGUGCCAGCAGCCGCGGUAAUACGUAGGGUGCAAGCGUUAAUCGGAAUUACUGGGCGUAAAGCGUGCGCAGGCGGUUUUGUAAGACAGAGGUGAAAUCCCCGGGCUCAACCUGGGAACUGCCUUUGUGACUGCAAGGCUUGAGUGCGGCAGAGGGGGAUGGAAUUCCGCGUGUAGCAGUGAAAUGCGUAGAUAUGCGGAGGAACGCCGAUGGCGAAGGCAAUCCCCUGGGCCUGCACUGACGCUCAUGCACGAAAGCGUGGGGAGCAAACAGGAUUAGAUACCCUGGUAGUCCACGCCCUAAACGAUGUCAACUGGUUGUUGGGAAGAUUCCUUCUCAGUAACGUAGCUAACGCGUGAAGUUGACCGCCUGGGGAGUACGGCCGC